AGGCUCCUUGCUUGCAAGGGGUACUCGAGUGGCGAACGGGUGAGUAACACGUGGGUGAUCUGCCUUGCACUUCGGGAUAAGCCUGGGAAACUGGGUCUAAUACCGGAUAGGACCAUGCUUUAGUGUGUGUGGUGGAAAGUUUUUUCGGUGCAAGAUGAGCCCGCGGCCUAUCAGCUUGUUGGUGGGGUAAUGGCCUACCAAGGCGACGACGGGUAGCCGGCCUGAGAGGGUGUACGGCCACAUUGGGACUGAGACACGGCCCAGACUCCUACGGGAGGCAGCAGUGGGGAAUAUUGCACAAUGGGCGCAAGCCUGAUGCAGCGACGCCGCGUGGGGGAUGACGGCCUUCGGGUUGUAAACUCCUUUCGCUAGGGAAGAAGCCACUUGUGGUGACGGUAACUGGAUAAGAAGCACCGGCUAACUACGUGCCAGCAGCCGCGGUAAUACGUAGGGUGCGAGCGUUGUCCGGAAUUACUGGGCGUAAAGAGCUCGUAGGUGGUUUGUCGCGUCGUCUGUGAAAUCCCGGGGCUUAACUUCGGGCGUGCAGGCGAUACGGGCAUAACUAGAGUGCUGUAGGGGAGACUGGAAUUCCUGGUGUAGCGGUGAAAUGCGCAGAUAUCAGGAGGAACACCGAUGGCGAAGGCAGGUCUCUGGGCAGUUACUGACGCUGAGGAGCGAAAGCAUGGGUAGCGAACAGGAUUAGAUACCCUGGUAGUCCAUGCCGUAAACGGUGGGCGCUAGGUGUGGGGGUUUUAUUUACGAUUCCCGUGCCGUAGCUAACGCAUUAAGCGCCCCGCCUGGGGAGUACGCCGCAAGGC
rnacentral:rRNA from 1 species